GUUUUGAAGUUGCCUAGGAAAAAAUUUUUUUUUAGGAAUUAGUUUCAAAAAGAUCAAACUCAUGCCUGUAAUAAACCUUCCUCAGUUACCAGUACUAUAAAAAAAAAUCCUGUGUUUGGUACCAUGGGAUGUACCUUCAGGAUAACAUAAUUCCACGUACAAACCUCCUGCAAGAUGACGGGGAUGUCAUUGGGCAGACUGCCAGGGUAUGAACUCUGGACCAUUGAGAAUUCUGAUCGACAGUCCAGAAAAUGGAUAUUCAGUUUGACAACAAUUGACAACCUCAGCACAACUACUGUAACAAUAACAUUAUAGAUGCAAAUACGAACAACAUUCACACACAAAACACAGACACACUCACAACCAGCGCUUUAUGAAUUAGACUUCUAUGAACUUCUCGAUGAUGAUAGAUGAUCUUGUAACACUCUGACCGACAGUGAGAUGAAGGAGUUUUAAAAUCUUUCUGUUUUAGUUCUAAUGGAAAGGAGACAACCACUUCAUUCAGAUCUUAUGUAACAGUGGUUUAAUGGGUGAAGGUUAUCUUUAAGAAUAGUGAGUGUUUUGGAAAGGCAUGUUUCAUGGAAAAGCUCUUCUUGAGAUGGUAGCAAACCGCUACAUUACAACCAGGCAGCUAUCCAAUGUUUAUGAUGAAAGUUAAUAUAAUUAAAAUUGAGGCUUCCAUAGAGUGGUUUCAAGAAAAAAAAUAUAAAUGUUUUCUGGAACUUAAAAAAAAAAAAAGAGUAAAGACAGGCUUACAGAUGAUCAUGGUUUAUAAGUGCGGAAACAAACAAUUUAAUUUAAGAAUCUAUAUUUAUGAACAAACUAAAACACAACAGAUAUGUAAGCAUAAAUAAAUAAAAAUGUUAGUUUAAAAACAUCAACAGUGUAACAAUUUCUUUUUAUUUUUUUUACAUUUGUAAAAUAAUAUAGAAAAUACAAUAGACUUACAUAUAAUAACCCACAUACUGGACCAAACACAGUGGGGUUUCCUACAUUUUGUGACUUUACCAUCACAAAAGAGAUACAAGACACUGAUGGCAAUCAAAUCAUUAAAUAGAAACAAUCUGAUAUAAACUUUUCACAUGUAAAUUAUGAGUGAGUCAGGUGUGAAUGUACUUUAUUAUUAUACAUGUCUAUUGUAUUUUAAAAAAAGUUUUUCAUCCCUGCAGAAGUAAAUCUUAAUAUUGUAUAAUAAUAAGGCAAAUUAUAAGUAAUUGUUUGCUAGACUAUUAGUUAUUAGACUCUCAUUGUGGUUUAAAAAAAAAAAAAAAAAAAAAAAAAAAAAAAAAAAAAGAUAA